rnacentral:rRNA from 1 species
GGAAUUUUGCGCAAUGGGCGAAAGCCUGACGCAGCAACGCCGCGUGAGUGAUGAAGGCCUUCGGGUCGUAAAGCUCUGUCAGAGGGGAAGAACCUCCCGUCGGUUAAUAUCCGGCGGGCCUGACGGUACCCCCAACGGAAGCACCGGCCAACUCCGGGCCAGCAGCCGCGGUAAUACGGAGGGUGCAAGCGUGGUUCGGAAUUAUGGGGCGUAAAGCGCGUGUAGGCGGUCUGUUAAGUCUGAUGUGAAAGCCCCGGGCUCAACCCGGGAAGUGCAUUGGAAACUGGCAGACUUGAGUACGGGAGAGGGUAGUGGAAUUCCGAGUGUAGGGGUGAAAUCCGUAGAUAUUCGGAGGAACACCGGUGGCGAAGGCGGCUACCUGGACCGAUACUGACGCUGAGACGCGAAAGCGUGGGGAGCAAAC